rnacentral:rRNA from 1 species
UACGGAGGAUGCAAGCGUUAUCCGGAUUCAUUGGGUUUAAAGGGUGCGUAGGCGGAAUAAUAAGUCAGUGGUGAAAGCCUGCGGCUUAACCGUAGAAAUGCCAUUGAUACUGUUAUUCUUGAGUAUAGUUGAGGUGGGCGGAAUGUGUAAUGUAGCGGUGAAAUGCUUAGAUAUUACACAGAACACCAAUUGCGAAGGCAGCUCACUAAGCUGUUACUGACGCUCAUGCACGAAAGCGUGGGGAGCAAACAGG